GCAUUUACACUACAAACGCAAUGUAACCACACGUGUUUCCGGCUUCCUUCUAAUGUGUUUUAAGUGAUUAGAUCACAAAAUGGCUCGGAUGUCACCUGAAAUGGCCAGUAGUACCAGAAUCAAAGAGGUCCUUCAAACAACACUAUAAUCACCACUUUCAUUUGUGCUCCUGUUUUUAUACGGCAAAGAGUUCAUGUUUAGACCUUUAAUGGUUGGCCUUAAAAGUGUCUGUCUCAGAGCUUGAAUUGUGAUUAACAUGUGUUUGAAGGCAGUGCAUUUAUCUGUGUUGUCUGGCUGCAGUGGUGAGGUGUGAACGUUUGAGCGGAGGGUUGAGUGUGGUGUGAACGGGCGGGCGGAGGAUGAUAGGCCUGGGUGAGAGGGGAAAGCAGAGUGAGAUAAGUGCUCCACCACUCCCUGCCCUUCCUGAGAAGCACAGUGGCUCCCGCCCUUUUUAACACACACAUGCCAAGAUAUGACGACACAAUCGUACUUAUGAAUUUAUUCGACCCUUUUACAAAGGAAGUCUUUCUCUUCUCUUAAACACAGUUCUUUCGGAUAAAGAACUUUUGUUGGGGUUCAGAAGUAUUAUUCUGGGUUUAACUGUACUGUGCAAUAGGCUAUGUCCCUUAACAAAAAGUAGUAUACGUCAAGUUUAUUUUAUUAAGUAUACUUAAUUAAAGUUUAAGUAUAUUUUUAAGUAUACUUUAUGUAGCAAGUAUACAGAUAUCAGUGUUCUAGUAGUAUACUUGUAAGUGUACACUUUCACUUUUAAGUAUACUUUAAGUUUAACAGUAGCAAACCUUGAGUACACAACUAGUUUACCUCUAUAUUUGUAGUUUGUACUGCAAUUAUACUAAAAGUGAACUUAUAGGUAUACUGAUCGUUUACUAAUUAAAUACUUUGUACACUUUGAAGUAUACGCUCAGUAAACUACUAGUUUAGUAGUUUUAUACUGCAAGAUACUCAUAAGUUUUCUUUAAGUGAACUUUACAUCAUACUUUAAGUAUACUACUAUGUCCCUAUUUAGGUUUUAAUUUGUAUAUAUUUUGUUAUAUGAAUAUCUGAACAUCCAAAACAUCCAAAGAAAGAACAGGGUAUCUGCUUGUCAAAAAAA
ensembl:lncRNA